rnacentral:rRNA from 1 species
GAUGAACGCUCGCUACAGGCUUAACACAUGCAAGUCGAGGGGAAACGCCAUCGAAAGCUUGCUUUUGAUGGGCGUCGACCGGCGCACGGGUGAGUAACGCGUAUCCAACCUGCCCAUCACUUGGGAAUAACCUUGCGAAAGUAAGACUAAUACCCAAUGAUAUCCCACGAAGGCAUCGGAAUGGGAUUAAAGAUUUAUCGGUGAUGGAUGGGGAUGCGUCUGAUUAGCUUGUUGGCGGGGUAACGGCCCACCAAGGCAACGAUCAGUAGGGGUUCUGAGAGGAAGGUCCCCCACAUUGGAACUGAGACACGGUCCAAACGCCUACGGGAGGCAGCAGUGAGGAAUAUUGGUCAAUGGGCGAGAGCCUGAACCAGCCAAGUAGCGUGCAGGAAGACGGCCCUAUGGGUUGUAAACUGCUUUUAUAAGGGAAUAAAGUGGGUCACGUGUGACUUUUUGCAUGUACCUUAUGAAUAAGGACCGGCUAAUUCCGUG